rnacentral:rRNA from 1 species
UCCUGACUGACCGAUAGUGAACCAGUACCGUGAGGGAAAGGCGAAAAGAACCCCGGCGAGGGGAGUGAAAAAGAACCUGAAACCGUGUACGUACAAGCAGUGGGAGCACGCUUAGGCGUGUGACUGCGUACCUUUUGUAUAAUGGGUCAGCGACUUAUAUUCUGUAGCAAGGUUAACCGAAUAGGGGAGCCGAAGGGAAACCGAGUCUUAACUGGGCGUUAAGUUGCAGGGUAUAGACCCGAAACCCGGUGAUCUAGCCAUGGGCAGGUUGAAGGUUGGGUAACACUAACUGGAGGACCGAACCGACUAAUGUUGAAAAAUUAGCGGAUGACUUGUGGCUGGGGGUGAAAGGCCAAUCAAACCGGGAGAUAGCUGGUUCUCCCCGAAAGCUAUUUAGGUAGCGCCUCGUGAAUUCAUCUCCGGGGGUAGAGCACUGUUUCGGCAAGGGGGUCAUCCCGACUUACCAACCCGAUGCAAACUGCGAAUACCGGAGAAUGUUAUCACGGGAGACACACGGCGGGUGCUAACGUCCGUCGUGAAGAGGGAAACAACCCAGACCGCCAGCUAAGGUCCCAAAGUCAUGGUUAAGUGGGAAACGAUGUGGGAAGGCCCAGACAGCCAGGAUGUUGGCUUAGAAGCAGCCAUCAUUUAAAGAAAGCGUAAUAGCUCACUGGUCGAGUCGGCCUGCGCGGAAGAUGUAACGGGGCUAAACCAUGCACCGAAGCUGCGGCAGCGACGCUUAUGCGUUGUUGGGUAGGGGAGCGUUCUGUAAGCCUGUGAAGGUGUGCUGUGAGGCAUGCUGGAGGUAUCAGAAGUGCGAAUGCUGACAUAAGUAACGAUAAAGCGGGUGAAAAGCCCGCUCGCCGGAAGACCAAGGGUUCCUGUCCAACGUUAAUCGGGGCAGGGUGAGUCGACCCCUAAGGCGAGGCCGAAAGGCGUAGUCGAUGGGAAACAGGUUAAUAUUCCUGUACUUGGUGUUACUGCGAAGGGGGGACGGAGAAGGCUAUGUUGGCCGGGCGACGGUUGUCCCGGUUUAAGCGUGUAGGCUGGUUUUCCAGGCAAAUCCGGAAAAUCAAGGCUGAGGCGUGAUGA